rnacentral:rRNA from 1 species
GAUGAACGCUGGCGGCGUGCCUAAUACAUGCAAGUCGAGCGAACAGACGAGGAGCUUGCUCCUCUGACGUUAGCGGCGGACGGGUGAGUAACACGUGGAUAACCUACCUAUAAGACUGGGAUAACUUCGGGAAACCGGAGCUAAUACCGGAUAAUAUAUUGAACCGCAUGGUUCAAUAGUGAAAGACAGUUUUGCUGUCACUUAUAGAUGGAUCCGCGCCGCAUUAGCUAGUUGGUAAGGUAACGGCUUACCAAGGCAACGAUGCGUAGCCGACCUGAGAGGGUGAUCGGCCACACUGGAACUGAGACACGGUCCAGACUCCUACGGGAGGCAGCAGUAGGGAAUCUUCCGCAAUGGGCGAAAGCUUGACGGAGCAACGCCGCGUGAGUGAUGAAGGUCUUCGGAUCGUAAAACUCUGUUAUUAGGGAAGAACAAAUGUGUAAGUAACUAUGCACGUCUUGACGGUACCUAAUCAGAAAGCCACGGCUAACUACGUG